CACGUAGGGUGCGAGCGUUGUCCGGAAUUAUUGGGCGUAAAGAGCUCGUAGGCGGUGUGUCGCGUCGGCCGUGAAAACCUGCAGCUUAACUGUGGGCGUGCGGUCGAUACGGGCAUCACUGGAGUUCGGCAGGGGAGACUGGAAUCCUGGUGUAGCGGUGAAAUGCGCAGAUAUCAGGAGGAACACCGGUGGCGAAGGCGGGUCUCUGGGCCGAUACUGACGCUGAGGAGCGAAAGCGUGGG
rnacentral:rRNA from 1 species